AACGAACGCUGGCGGCAUGCCUAACACAUGCAAGUCGAACGAGACCUUCGGGUCUAGUGGCGCACGGGUGCGUAACGCGUGGGAACCUGCCCUUAGGUUCGGAAUAACUCCCCGACAGGGGUGCUAAUACCGGAUAAUGUCUUCGGACCAAAGAUUUAUCGCCUUUGGAUGGGCCCGCGUUGGAUUAGCUAGUUGGUAGGGUAAAAGCCUACCAAGGCGACGAUCCAUAGCUGGUCUGAGAGGAUGAUCAGCCACACUGGGACUGAGACACGGCACAGACUCCUACGGGAAGCAGCAGUGGGGAAUAUUGGACAAUGGGCGAAAGCCUGAUCCAGCAAUGCCGCGUGAGUGAUGAAGGCCUUAGGGUUGUAAAGCUCUUUUACCCGGGAUGAUAAUGACAGUACCGGGAGAAUAAGCUCCGGCUAACUCCGUG
rnacentral:rRNA from 1 species